GACGAACGCUGGCGGCGUGCCUAAUACAUGCAAGUAGAACGCACAGUUUAUGCCGUAGCUUGCUACACCAUAAACUGUGAGUUGCGAACGGGUGAGUAACGCGUAGGUAACCUGCCCGGUAGCGGGGGAUAACUAUUGGAAACGAUAGCUAAUACCGCAUAAUAUUGAUUAUUGCAUGAUAAUUGAUUGAAAGAUGCUAUUGCAUCACUACCAGAUGGACCUGCGUUGUAUUAGCUAGUAGGUGAGGUAACGGCUCACCUAGGCGACGAUACAUAGCCGACCUGAGAGGGUGAUCGGCCACACUGGGACUGAGACACGGCCCAGACUCCUACGGGAGGCAGCAGUAGGGAAUCUUCGGCAAUAGACGAAAGUCUGACCGAGCAACGCCGCGUGAGUGAAGAAGGUUUUCGGAUCGUAAAGCUCUGUUGUAAGAGAAGAACGGGUGUGAGAGUGGAAAGUUCACACUGUGACGGUAUCUUACCAGAAAGGGACGGCUAACUACGUG
rnacentral:rRNA from 1 species